AUACUUACUGGCAGGAGAGAUACUACAACAAUGAAAGUGGUUUUUCAUUUUUCUCUGGAUGUGCUGACUGCUGCAAUUCUCCUCAAAUGUGGGGAAGUCAACUGCCUAGUUUGUGGUAGUAGAGGACUGUGUUCACAUUCUCCCCUA
rnacentral:snRNA from 1 species